rnacentral:rRNA from 1 species
GGAGCCGUAGCGAAAGCGAGUUUUAACUGAGCGUUCAGUUACUUGACGUAGACCCGAAACCGGGCGACCUACCCAUGAGCAGGAUGAAGCGAAAGUAAAAUUUCGUGGAGGUCCGAACCCACGAGCGUUGAAAAGCUCGGGGAUGACUUGUGGGUAGCGGUGAAAUUCCAAUCGAGCCCGGAGAUAGCUGGUUCUCCCCGAAAUAGCUUUAGGGCUAGCCUCAAGGUGAGAGAUACGGAGGUAGAGCACUGAAUGUCCUAGGGGGUAUUGCACCUACCGAAGACUAUCAAACUCCGAAUGCCGUCAUCUUAUACUUGGGAGUCAGACUGUGGGUGAUAAGAUUCAUAGUCGAAAGGGCAACAGCCCAGAUCGUCAGCUAAGGUCCCUAAAUGUAAGUUAAGUGGUAAAGGAUGUGGGAUUGCACAGACAACCAGGAUGUUGGCUUAGAAGCAGCCACUCAUUCAAAGAGUGCGUAAUAGCUCACUGGUCGAGUGAUCCUGCGCCGAAGAUUUCCGGGGCUAAAACUUACUACCGAAGCUACGGCAUCAGUAAUGAUGGGUAGGGGAGCUUCCCAUACGGGUUGAAGCAUGACCGUAAGGACAUGUGGACAGUAUGGGAGUGAGAAUGUUGGCAUGAGUAGCGAGAUGUGGGUGAGAAUCCCACAGGCCGUAAACCCAAGGUUUCCAGGGGAAGGUUCGUCCGCCCUGGGUUAGUCGGGACCUAAGCUGAGGCCGAAAGGCGUAGGUGAUGGACAACAGG